AAUAUAAUCGUACACAUUCGGAAGACCCAUAAUCACGCAGGCCGACAGUGCUGAUCUGCAUAUGUUCGUGUCUGUCGCCUCGUACCUACGUUUAGAAUUGUGGGAAUUAACAUCAUAAGAAUCAUAAGUACAACGAACGCUUGGAAGAUAAAACUGUUGUCAAACUGACCAACUCCCAAACUGUCUGCUCGCUUUUAACAUUUAGUUCAUCAGCGCCAACUAAUGGCUUCAGUUCUUCGAUAGGUAAAUGUAAAAUUUCUUCGCUUCUCUGCGAUACCUUAUGUAAAUCAAGAGGAAUGGGAGAUUAGAUUGUGUGAAGGAAUAACGACAAAUGUUGACGGGCGAAUCUCAUCACUCCAAUGCAAUUUUCCGGCGCUAAAUUAUCUCUUAAAUAAUCACAGCACAGAUC